rnacentral:lncRNA from 1 species
AUACACACUUGGUUCUUAAUUUCUUCUCCUGUUGCUGUGAAAAAGAAAUAACCUGACAAAAGCGCCUUAAAAGAGUUUCUUGCAGCUUGAAUUUCCACGGUAUAGUCCAUCACAGCAGGGAAGUCACGGCAGCAGCUGAAGCUGCCUGUCAAGGCAGCAGGAGCCUGAAGCAGCAAGCCAAAUGUUCACAUUCGGGAAGCAGAGAAAAGUGGAUGGCUCUUCUCAGCUCAUGGUGCAUUUCACACAGUUCAGGAUCUCAGUGGAAGGGGUGACACCAUCCACAGUGGUUGGUUCUUUCCCUCUUAAUAAACCUCAUCAAGAUAACUACCAAAAAGCAUGCCCAGAGGCCCAACUCCCGGGGCAUUCUAGAUCUCAUCAAGUUGACAGUUGAGAUGAACUGUCACUCUUGGAAACCUCACUGUAGCAUAAGGACUGAAAAGAGCAAGUUCAAGGUCAGACUCACAAACAGAACAAGUUGGAGUUCCAUGUAUUCCAGUGUUGAUGAAUACUUGAGUCUUUUACAUUCUGUCUUUCAAGUGUCUGAGAGGAAGGAAGGAAGGAAGGAAGGAAGGAAGGAAGGAAGGAAGGAAGGAAGGAAAGAAAGAAAGAAAGAAAGAAAGAAAGAAAGAAAGAUAAAGAAAAAGAAAGAGAGAAAGAAAGAGACAAAGACAACCAAAAGAAGAAGAAAUGCCAGUCUCUGGCUAUGACAUGUCUG